UUUCCGUAGGUGAACCUGCGGAAGGAUCAUUAUAGAGUUCAUGCCCGAAAGGGUAGACCUCCCACCCUUGUGUAUUAUUACUUUGUUGCUUUGGCGAGCGCAAGCUCGCCGGAGAACACCAAAACUCUUUUUAUUAAUGUCGUCUGAGUACUAAAUAAUAGUUAAAACUUUCAACAACGGAUCUCUUGGUUCUG
rnacentral:misc_RNA from 1 species